rnacentral:rRNA from 1 species
AGUGAACGCUGGCGGUAGGCCUAACACAUGCAAGUCGAACGGCAGCACAGUAAGAGCUUGCUCUUACGGGUGGCGAGUGGCGGACGGGUGAGGAAUACAUCGGAAUCUACUUUUUCGUGGGGGAUAACGUAGGGAAACUUACGCUAAUACCGCAUACGACCUACGGGUGAAAGCAGGGGAUCUUCGGACCUUGCGCGAUUGAAUGAGCCGAUGUCGGAUUAGCUAGUUGGCGGGGUAAAGGCCCACCAAGGCGACGAUCCGUAGCUGGUCUGAGAGGAUGAUCAGCCACACUGGAACUGAGACACGGUCCAGAUUCCUACGGGAGGCAGCAGUGGGGAAUAUUGGACAAUGGGCGCAAGCCUGAUCCAGCCAUACCGCGUGGGUGAGGAAGGCCUUCGGGUUGUAAAGCCCUUUUGUUGGGAAAGAAAAGCAGCAGGUUAAUACCCCGCUGUUCUGACGGUACCCAAAGAAUAAGCACCGGCUAACUUCGUG